GUUAGUGUUAAAGUGUUGCGUUUGUACUCCGCGAAAAGUGUUGUUUUAAGUCGUUCAAGUGGACUCAUUCCCUCUUUGUGUGUGCAGCCAGACGUAUAUACUAACCGGAGAACCGGAGAUACUCGUGAAGGAAGGAAAUCACAAAGCCUAUCAAAUGGAAAUGAGACGUGUCUACAGAUGAUCCAUUAAACCCACUCUUCUCAAGAAUCAUGACCAUUAUCUCUGCCACAGCUCUGAAACAACAGCUCAGUGAGCUUGGACUGCUGUGGGCCGGCAGGACCUGAAGAAACUGUCCGUCAGCCUUUGCAAGACUCAUCAAUGAGAGACUAUGGAUUACCAGCGCAAGCAUUCUCUCCCUGCUGGAUUUGGGUAUCAAUUA